GCAUUUCUCAUCUUCGUGUACUCUGUCUGUCAACGGACAAGACAACAAAGGGUCCAAGAAAACAGCCAACAAGCAGAUGAAAGAACCCCUCUCCUAUGAUCCUGUGUUCCAGCUCCAAGUUACACAACUUUUUAAACAUCUUAUCAGCCAUUUUUUGUUAUCAGGCUGAUAUUGUAUUAAUGUUGUGAGUCCUUUGGUUAUUUAUAUGUGGUUCUAGGGCAUGCAUUGUAGUAGGAACUACCAAACAGGCAUUUUAAGUACUGUUGCAGGUAUUUAUAACUCUAUAGCCUGCUUCUAAUCAAUGCAGUAACACUGUGUAAUGUAAAAUCUCAGAUUAAUUGUAUUAUGUUUUUACAAAAAGCUAGAGAGUCAUGGAGUGGGUCCAAAAAUAAUUUGGGAAGCAACACGGAUAUUAAAAAUGAAACCAGAAGUUCACUACACGAACCCAGCUUGAUCGUGAUCUAAGUUAGAGUCCUGUGCAGGUAGAAUCCACAGACACAGACUCCUGCCAAAGUAUUUAAAACUGCCUGAUAGUAGUUUCUUCAACAUUGCCACGAUGACUUACACACAAUGACACCAGCCACUUGGUUAGUAAGAGUGAGUUUUAUAAACAGUGGUUUAGUUGUAAAGCAGUGCAAGUGUACUGAUUUAAGGUGGUGCAUCUGAAUAUAAGUGUUUCAUAUGGGUGUGUAAGUAUGAAUCUAUUUACUAUACUAAAACAGUGCAAUUUACUUGAUAAUCACAACUAUUGCCGACCACAAUUGUGCCUUUUGUAGAGAUAUUCAUAGGAUUUUUACAUCACAACUUGAAUUUCUUGUUUAAUUGACCAAUAUCAACAUCUGAUUACCUCAUUCAUAGAAAUGUGAAGAAAACCGUGUGAUAUAACGAUAUCUUUGGAAAGAUAAAUUAUACAGCUCAUAAUGAACCUUUCAUACUGUACUAAUUCUUCAAACAGGGAAUUUAUUGCAGAUUUCACUGCAGUUAGAAAUGUUGAAUGUUUUACCUUCUUUUCUGCCUGCAUUAUAGAUUUAUUUAACACUGAUAUUGAGAUUUUUUCACUCACUGACAAUUUAAGGGACUGCAAAGACUGAUUAUGAAUAAAAAAUGGAAAUAAAA